UACACUAGCGAGCUUACCUCUCUUUCUCUGCCAUGGUCAUGUGAGGUCACAGUGAGAAGACAGCUGUCUAUGAACAAGGAAGAAGAGCCCACUGGAGAACCAAAUUGGCCAGGACCUUGAUCUUGGACUUUUCUGCCUCCGGAACUAAGCUGGAGGUCCCCCUAGCUGACUAAUGAAGCGAGUGGCUGCAGAGCGGCAAAUGCCCACCCCACCAGGCUGGGUGCUGCUUAAAAGCAGAGAGCUGAGAGUUCAUGAUCCACAGCACCUCACACUGACGGAACAUGUAAAUCACCCGAGGAAAAAAAAAAAGUCAUUGUAAUUGCUGAAUUCCAAGUGAAGAAUCUGACCCUGAAGAGAAGCUCAGGAAAUCACACGAGAUGAGAU